GGAUCGAUGAUGACUUAAAAAUGGAUCUUGUUGGAAUCUGAACAAAAUGAGUGACCAAGCCAUUUCUGUGCCACUUCUGUGAGCUGAGGUCC
ensembl:snoRNA SNORD116 Small nucleolar RNA SNORD116